rnacentral:lncRNA from 1 species
GACAAACAGAGAGCGUGCUGCUGCUUUGCUGAGAGCUGGGAAACCUGAUGGGGCAUAUCCAGAGUGUUCUCCACUUGUAGAGUCUUUCCAGAGCAUCCAAGGGUUAGAGGAAGGAAGCUAGCACACCAUUCCGGAUGAUUAUUUCCUGUUUUUCAUCAGAAAAUAUACCAUGUGGGUAAAUCUGACAUUGUCAAAAUUCUGACCUCAACCUCCAGGGUCACGCUGUGAGUAAACAGAGGAGAUCUGAAUUCUGUUUCAUGGAGCCUGAUAGAACAGCACCACGGAGCUGAAGAUGAACAGAUUAAAAGAAAAAAUAAGUGUUGACACCUUCUUUCAUCAAGAAGUGUAGCUUGAGAAGUCCCAGACCAUGUGGGGAUGAAGAAGCCAUGGCACUGAACCAUCUCAG